GAUGAACGCUGGCGGCGUGCCUAAUACAUGCAAGUCGAGCGAACAGAUAAGGAGCUUGCUUCUUUGACGUUAGCGGCGGACGGGUGAGUAACACGUGGGUAACCUACCUAUAAGACUGGAAUAACUUCGGGAAACCGGGGCUAAUGCCGGAUAACAUGUUGAACCGCAUGGUUCUACAGUGAAAGGCGGCUUUGCUGUCACUUAUAGAUGGACCCGCGCCGUAUUAGCUAGUUGGUGAGGUAACGGCUCACCAAGGCAACGAUACAUAGCCGACCUGAGAGGGUGAUCGGCCACACUGGAACUGAGACACGGUCCAGACUCCUACGGGAGGCAGCAGUAGGGAAUCUUCCGCAAUGGGCGAAAGCCUGACGGAGCAACGCCGCGUGAGUGAUGAAGGUCUUCGGAUCGUAAAACUCUGUUAUUAGGGAAGAACAAAUGCGUAAGUAACUGUGCGCGUCUUGACGGUACCUAAUCAGAAAGCCACGGCUAACUACGUG
rnacentral:rRNA from 1 species